AUACGGAGGGUGCAAGCGUUACUCGGAAUCACUGGGCGUAAAGCGCGCGCAGGCGGCUAUUUAAGUUGGGUGUGAAAGCCUACGGCUCAACCGUAGAACUGCAUCCAAAACUAUUUAGCUAGAGUGUGGGAGAGGAAGAUGGAAUUAGUUGUGUAGGGGUAAAAUCCGUAGAGAUAACUAGGAAUACCAAAGGCGAAGGCAAUCUUCUGGAACACUACUGACGCUGAGGCGCGAAAGCGUGGGGAGCAAACAGGAUUAGAAACCCUAGUAGUCC
rnacentral:rRNA from 1 species